ensembl:lncRNA
CCAGCCUGUGUGUCAGUUCACCUGCUCUAGGUCACAAUAAUGGCUGCCACCAAUGUCUCAGUCCCUGAGAAGGUGGUCCCAGCUGCCUCCUGCCUCACCAAGAUGUGCCCAGAGCCUAUCAAAUGGUUUGGUGGAAAGUCUUCAACCAAAGCCGUGUUCCAUCAGAGGAACCUGUGUAGCCCAUGCCCGUCCCCUCAUACCUUCCCCGACACCAGGUGCUGCCAGCCCUUCAUUUCUGUGGGACUGAUGGGUGAAGAGCUGUAGCUUAGGGGGGUGGGGCAGGCUGUAAAGAUGCUCUACAUACUUUUCCUGUUCUGUCUGUUAACACUGGGGCUCCCACUGGGCUGUGUGGUUCCGAUCUCAGGUUCAGUAUGCAGCCUUGAACAGGACAAGUAGGAAAUGAGUGUGAGAAGGGUAGCUCUUCAUAGGAUGCAGACGAGGGUAAGGGGAGACCACCAGGCUCAGCUUAGCACAGUGCCUGGAACCUAAUCAGUGCUCCAUUCUAGUGGGUGAUGGUGACAACAAGGGGAUCUCAGAGGGGCAGCUCCUCACUCUGUGCCCUGGGACCCUGAGCUCCCCCUGCCCCUAUCUGCACUCUGUUUCCUCCUAGAUCAUUGAACACAGAAUCUUCGUCUCAACACAAGCUCCAUCAGUCAGUCAUUCAGUCAGGCGACAAGCAGGGGAAGGCAGGGUUCAGGCAGCCUCAGGGCGCAGAGGGAGUGAGAUCAGGCUGGGAGGGAGAGCUGGGUGCCUUCCUGCUCUGCACUGGCUGGGACACUGUGGUGGGCUGAACCAUGGCCCCCAAAGAUACCAAGUCCUCAUCCACGGAACCAUGCCCAUGUCCUUAUAUGUCAACAUCUUUGAAGAUUUUAUUAAAUUAAGGCUCUUGAGAUGGGCAGAUUAUCCUGGAUUAUCCUGAAUUAUCUGGGUGGGCCCUAAAUGAUAUCCUAUGUGUCCUUACUCAAGGGAGGCAGAGGGAGAUUUGACAUACACAGAGGAGGAGGCCAUGUGAGGACUGAGGCCACCUCAAGUGAAAGGACCGGGGCAGCCACCAGAAGCUGCAAGAGGCCAAAAAGGAGCCUCCCCUGGAGCCUUUGGAGGGAGCACAGCCCUGCCGACACCUCAGUUUCAGACUUAUAGCCUUCAGGAUGGGGAGAGAAUAAAUUUCUGUUUUUAGAACCACCCAGUUUGUUACAGCAGGAACAUGAAGCUAAUACAGAUACACACUCUUCCUGGUCCCAGGAACGUUCCCUGCCCCUCACCCCCCGCACAUGCACACACGCGUGCACACACACAUGCACACACACACACACACACCCUGAGGUCCCAACAAAGCCUCUGCCUCAGUCACUGCCCCGUCCAUCAGCCUUGAUGAUUCACAGGCGUUCCUGUCCAUUCCAGAGAUACGGGUCUCUUAAUUUCAAACUUUGCAAGUCUCUCUCCCAUCCUCUUAUCUCUUUCUAACUUGUCCGUGGUGUCCAUUGGCAAGAAGUGCUAGUUUUGAUGGAAUCAGAUUUGUCAUUGUUUUUUGCCUUAUGGAUUAUGCUUUGGGAUCUUUGUGUAAGAAAUUCUUCCUUGCUCAGAUGUUACAAAGAUUCUCCUACACUUGCUUCUAACUUCAAAUUGUUGCCUUUUACAUUCGGGUCUUGAUUCUCUCUGGAGCCACCUCUGCGUGCAGCGUUAAGUCAAGGCCAUGUUUACUUUCUCCAUGUAGUGAUCCAGUGCCCAACACCAUUUCCCACACAGUUGGCUCUUCGCCUCUUGGUGGUAGUGCCCCUGAGUACGAGGUGAGGGUCUCCUACCCCCCAGCCCCACCUCCAGCUUCCUGCCCUCUUGUGCAGUUAGAAGAAACUGUUCUCUGACCAUGAAUUCGUAGGGUCUUCCCAUCAGGUAUUCUCCAUUUUUAUGGUGACUUCACUGUUUGGUGACAUGGGCCUUCUGUUGUAGCGUAGGUUUACUGAGCUUCUCCAAAGAUCUACAUGGCAUUUUGAUAGAGAUGACUUUGGAUUUUUAGCUUAUUUGGGUGAUAUUGUCAUAAAAUUAUCAAACCACCCAAGAGCAGGAUAGCGCUCCAGUCACGCGGUCACCUCAGCGGGGUGAGCCCCACGAGGAAAGUGAGUCCGUGGUAGGGGUGGGUGGGGCGCACUGCCUCUGGGUGAGGACAUGCAUCUUCUGGAUGCUUUUGGCUACAGCUCACCAACUCGGUGGUCCUGGGAUUGGUUAAUUCCCGGGACCAGGGGAGCCCAGGCUCCAGGUCUCUCCUCCACGAUUCUUGCGGCAUUGCCCUCAUAGUGGAAAGAUGCUGAACAACUCCUCCAUCGUCCUGCACGGAGAAGCAUGAGUCCCUCCUGGGGACCCUUUCAAGUAGCCCCCAGAUGUCCCCACCAGCCCCUUGUGACACCCUCAUGUCUCUUUCUCUGGCCUGGGUCCUGUCUCAUCCUGGCUACCCAUCUGGAGCUGGGAGAGGCACCAGGAGGGGGCAAGGGGCAGGCUGCUCGGCCUGGCUUCCUGUUCUCCCUGAUAUCUUAGGACACUGUGAGGUCACAGUGUGGGCAGCCCCAGGUCACAGGCAGCUCUACAUGAUCUCUCUGGCUGGCAGGAGGGAGAGAUCAGCAGGCUAGUUCCAGGAUGGUGGACAUGAGACUGCCCUCACGGCAAUGUGACCCUGGGGCUGCGGGUGGGGAUGACAAGGAUUCCUCCUGACCAGCUGCUGCCAGGCAGGGAAACCCUGUCCCAGAGCAGCCCAGAUCCCUGCAGAGGCUUGGCCCAGACGCAGGGCUUCAAGUGGCCACACUCCGGAGCCUCUCCAAGAUUUUGGAGAGUUUGCCAAAUGCUUAGGGACAGUGAAGGGGCUCCUUCUUGGUCACUGCCUGGGGUUCCCACAUCCCCCAUCCUUUGGCCCAGCCCCAAUCCACCCUGUUAUCUUGGGAUGACAGGGGGCCUGAGAGCACCCUGGACGUGAGGUCUGAGUUCUCUGAAGCCCAGACUGGGGCCAACCUUUGACGGGGGCUAGGGUUGGGAGCCGCCUCUGGGACUCUCAGUCAAGGGGGGGUGGGGAGAAGGCUGCCCCUGAGAUGCUGAGUCCGUGGGGGAGGGGGCUGCAUCAGGCAAUCUGGGUUUUGGUGCCCUCUGGUGGACGCUGGGGCACCCUACAGACCACUUUUCAGGCACAGGAGACAACUGAACACUCAGGAGACUGAGGGGUGGGGCAGUCCUGGGUUUGUCCCAAUAUCAAUGCUGAAAAGCAGGGUGACCCUGAAGUCACUCUGCCCUCUGAUCCUCAGUCUUCUCAUCUGUAAAAAUGGUGACAGAUCCAUUUCAAAAUGUUGUCAGGGAGGAGACAGAGCAGAUGAGACUAUGCAAGUGACACAGCAACGACAGUUCCCUCCUCUGUCUCCCAGACAGACAGACAGAGGGGCUGAGUCCCACAAGCAGAGGGUCACGCCAUCCUGGCCAGUCCCCUCCAUCCUCUGCCAGCAGCUGCCAGGGCAACCGUCCCACAACGGGGUCACCCUUGAUGGAAGCCCUUCAGUUCCAGCUGCCACAGGACCAGGGUCCAAGCCUCUGGCCUGGACAAGGGCUUGUGAGAACUCGUCUGACCCCACCAUUCCCUGCCCCUCUACCCAGCCUCAGCCAUGCCGACCCACCUCUGGCUCCCACCUCCUGGCCUUCACCCCAGCUGAUUUCUCCCGUCAUUCCCUCCCUACCCUUCCUUUGUCCUCUGGCAAAUUCCUACCCUCCUUCUCACCUGACGGGAAUGGGGCGUCUGUCCCUCCUUUGAGAAGACUUCCUGGACCCCACUCCUCCAACCCUUGACAAGAGUGCCAAGACAAUUCAAUGGGGGAGAGAAUAGUUGUUCAACGCACAGUGCUGAGAUAACUGGAGAGCCAUGUGCAAAAGAAUGAAGUUGAGCCCUACCCCACGUCAUAUCCAAAAUUACCCCUGACGGUGUCCAGUGGAGCAGCUAAAACUAUAAAACUCUUAGAAGAAAACAGGAGCACAUCUUCAUAAUUUUGGAGUUGGCAAUCAUAUCUUAGAUAUGACACUAAAAGUGCGAGCAACAAAAGAAAAAGAUAAGUUUAAAAUUUUUGUGCUUCAAAGGACACCAUCGAGAAAGUGAAAAGACAAUCUACCAAAUGGGAUAAAAUUUUUGCAAAUCACAUAUCUUUUAGGGACUUGAAUCUAGAAUAUAUGAAGAACUCUUACAACUCAGCAAUAAAAAGACAAACAACCAAAUUAAAAAUGGGCAAAGGAUCUGAGUAGACAAUUCUCAAAGAAGAUACACAAAUGGCCCCUCAGGGAACAGGAAAAGAUGCUCAACAUCAUUAGCCAUCAGGGAAGUGCAAACCAAAAUCACAAUGAGAUGCCAUUUCAUACCCACUACGAUGGCUAUCAUGCAAAAGUUAGACAAUGAAAAGUGUUGAUGAGGAUGUAGAGAAAUUGACACCCUCAUAUAUUACUGGUGAGAAUGUAAAAUGGUGCAACCAUUUUGGAAAAAUAGUCUAGUUUCUCAGAGAGUUAAACAUGGAGUUCCAUUUGAUCCAGCAAUUCCAUGCCUAAGUAGAACACAGGAGGACUGAAAACACAGGGCCACACGCAAAUUUGCACACAAAAGUUCACAGCAGCAUUAUUCAUAAUAGCCCCAAAGUGGAAACAACUCAAAUGUCCGUCAGUGGAUGAAUGGAUAAACAAAGCAUGGACUAUCCAUAUAAUGGAAUACUGUUCAGCUCUAAAAAGGAAUAAAAUACUGAUACAUGUCACGAUAUCGACGAACCGUGAAACAUGAUGCUAAGCGAAAGAAGCAAAUCACAAAAGACCACAUAUUACACAAUUCAGUUAGAAAAAUGUCCAGAAGAGGCACAUCUAUACAAACAGAAAGUAGAGUAGCAGUUGCUUAGGGCUGGGGGGAGGGUGGGGAAGAGGGAUUGGGGUUAAUAGCUGAAGGGUACGGGGUCUCUUUCUAGGGUAAUGAAAAUGUUCUAGAAUUUAUUGUGGUGUGGCUGCACGAGUCUGCGAAUAUACCAAAAGCCAUCAAAUGGUGCAUUAAAGUUAAGUGAGUGACUUGCGUGGCAUGUAACCUGUAUCUCAAUAAAGUUGUUACAUGCACAAGAAAGGCACACGAUGCAGCCAGGAUGGGGAGGAACUUCCUUUGGGCUCUAGCUUUCUUCUUAGCCCCUCUCGUCCUCACUCUCCCUCCAGGGUGUCUUCCUUCCCACCACGUUCCAAGCCAGGAGUGUCUUAAUCUGUCCUUGGCCAUCCCUGUUGCCUUCCCGUUCUUCUGGGUUGAUCACUGACUGUGCCGGCCUUUCAUCGCCCGGUGUCUGUGAUAGCUGCAGUCAGUUCUCAGAGUUCUUUCUGAUUGAAGAAUCCAGAAUUGAGAAGGAUCGGCUUUCUUCUAGAUAUCAGGCUGCCAUUUGUGAAGUGGCCAUCCAGUGGCCAGGGGCGCCCAGAUCCUUAGCUUUAGCUGGGUACCGGGGCCACGUAACUCCCACAGCCCCAAGAACAAGCAGAUUCCUGAAACUAGAGCUCACAUCCACGUCUGCUAGGGCAGCAACGGUGCCAGCAGGCCCUGUGGAGACAAAGACAAACACGGCGGGCCCUCUGCCAUCGAGACCUUGGCUGAAGGAAGACUGUGCUGAGUGUCUCAGAGAAAAGGAAGUGGGCAGUGCAGAUGGGGGUCUAGGAGCCAGGCCUUGAAGGAGGAGAAUUUCAAUAGGGAAGGGCAUUCCAGGUAGGUGGAACAGAACAUGCAAUGACGUACAGACAACAUGUGUGAACCAUAUGAAUUAAUCAUUUUUAUGGGGGAAAAAACUGAUCAAAUAUCAGCAAUUUCAUAUAAGUCAAUCUAAGCAGGCACACAGGGAGAUGAGCCCAGUGCAGCUAGACCAGUGGUUCUCAAAGUGUGUUCCAUGGAAUCCUAGGGUCCUGAGAUCUUGCAGGGGAUCUGUGAGGUCAAAGCUCUUAAUACUAAAGCAUUACUUGCCCUUUUCACUGGGCUGACAUUUAUACUGACAUGACACUGGUGCAAAGCCAUGAUGGACAGAGCUGCUGGAACCUCAGCUCAAAUCAAGGCAGUGGCACCAAGCUCUACCCGUGGUCAUUGUCACUUUACUACCAUGAGCGCACGGAAAACCCAGCGUACUGAGAAAGCACUAAAAAUAGUUAAUUCUAUUAAAUCUCCACCCUUGAGUAAGUACACAUCUCUUUAAUAUUCUGUGUGAUGAAAUGCAAAGAGGGAAGGAGAGCAGCUGCCCUGAGGAAGAGCGCCCGUGCGGCCAGGUGUCUGAGUUCCCAGCUGAAUCAGCCGCCUGUUUGAGGGAGUACCACUUUUACCUAAAAGAACGACUAAUGGACAGACUACGCCUAUUCAGGCUGCAGUUGUGGACAAGCAUCUCCCUGAAAAUGAGUGAUGUGAGCUGGCACUUGAAGGUAAACAGCUGACAGCAUUUGUUGCCGAUGAAAAACUUGAGCUCUCAGCAAAAAUGAGGAUUUUGGAAAACGUGUGUCUGCCACUGUCAGCCUGAGGUAAAGACAUUCCUGAUGAGAUUGAUGGCGAUGUUAACAAAGGUGCUUUUUGGAUGACAUGUAAUCAAAUAUGUCAACAUCUAGAAGAUAUGCAUCACCCCAUGACCCAGUAUUUGCCAGGUGACAAACACCCCAUAUAAAAAAUCUCCCCCGGGUCAAAGAGCCACUCAAAGUACAAGCUGGACCAGUGGGUUUCACUGCAACAGAGGACGCACAUUUCAUAAAAUUCCUCAAGAUGGUUUCAGAAUCCAUAUGCUAAGUAAUCUUUAAUAAACUCCCACCUGUCCAGUUUUGGGGUGGUUUCAAAGGAGAAUAUCCACAAUUACCUUAGAAAGGCAUUAAAAUACCCUCCCUUUUCCAGCAGCGUGUCUCUGAGAGGCUGGGCGUUCCUUACACACUGCAGCCAACACUGCUCGGAUGCAGAGGCCGGGAUGAGACCCUACCUGUCUACCGUCUCCUAGUCAGCCAGACAAGAGCUGGCAAAACUGUAAACCGGUGACACUCAUUUCACUGAGUUUGUUGUUACUGUUUCAAAAAAUUCUCAUUUUUCAUUUAAAAAUCAUUAUUAAUGUUAACACAUUAUGAGUUUAUCAUUAUUUUAAAAGAAAUAUUUCUAAAUGAAUAUUAUUUUUAUAUAAAUACUAAUUUAUUUUCAAAUCUAUUCAUAUAUAAAUAAUAUAGAUUAUCAUUUACUUUGUUUAUGAUUUAAUUAACACCAAUAUUUUUCCUUUAAUUGCGAUCUUUUUUUUUUAAUUGCAGUAACGUUGGAUUAUAACAUUAUAUAACUUUCAGGUAUACACUGUAAUAUAUUUUGCAUUCUGUGUAGAUUACAUCAUGUCCACCAGCCAAAAUUAAUUAUAAUCCAUCACCACACCUGUGUACCUAGUCACCCCUUUUGCCCUCCCCCUCCCCCCUUUCCCCAUGGUAACCAACAAUCCAAGCUCUGUUGCUAUGUGUUUGUCAUCGUUUUUAUCUUCUACUUAUGAGUGAGAUCAUAUGGUAUUUUAGUGAUUUACUAUUAUUUUUAAUGAAUAAAUAUGGUAAAUGAACUAACAAAUAUUUCUCAGCUUUAAUUUCUAAUACAGUAAUCACCAAUAGACAUCAGCGCGUAAACUCCAGUUGUAUGAUUGCUCAGCUUUGCUUCUAUAAUUGUUGGGAGUAAAGGGGUCCUGAGACCACAGUGUUUGAGAACCACUGGCCUAGAGCAUGAGGUGCUGGCCCCAGGCUGGCAAUGCAGGGUCCACUUAAAGCAACUGACCCACACUCCUGCUGUGCCCCUUAGCCUGGCUCCCUCUGCAUCCCCCAAGAUCCUGCCCCGGCCACCCCACCCGGGGCUGGACUCUACCCUACCACCUUCCCUGGAGAUGCACCCUGGAGCCUCUCACCCUAGUCGCCUUAAGUUCUGGAGAAGUCUGCAGCAGAAUGAGGAGCGUCCCCUGAUCGCAGUCUCCUCCUCCACAGCCGUGGAUCUGCCCUGUCUGCUGGGGAGGGAGGAGAGAGCUUCUGUGCACCUGUGAGCCCCGGGUCUGUGAAGCUGUGAGUGCCUAGUGUGUGCACCUGUGAGUCUGGGUUUGCAUACCUGUGAGCUCCUGGUCUAUACACCCAUGAGCAUGUAUGAAUGAAUUCGAGGCAGCAUCUUCCUGGGAGGCUGGAACACUAGGGGGUUCUCCAAGUCCUGACCCACCCUUCCCCCACGAGGACCCCUAGACAGUGCCUACCAGGGAGCCCUGGGAAGUGUGGGAAGGGGUCAGGACAGGAGCACUCUGAGGGUCCUGCUCAGUCACGUUUAUCAGCAGGGGGAAGCCCUCCCUUACAACCCCCCGAUGGUCCUGCACUGUCCACUACCCUGCUGGGGACUUUGGGUGAGUCCUUGCUCCUCUCUGGCCUCGGUUUCCCUAUCUAGGAAUGGAGGGCACUGAGCCAUGUGACUCCAGCCAAUGGUUCCCAGUCCCUGGCAGUGACUGACCCACCAUACUUGGGGACCCAUACCCUCUAAGCAAUGCUGCCCCACCCUGGCUCCUGGCAGGCUCACCCCUCGCCCUUCCUACCCCUUGCCCCCCAUUCUGUCUCGUACCUCAGAUAACCAGGGAAACUGUCACUGAAGGAGGCCAGCCGCUGAUCCACAGUCUGUCUGUCUCUGCUCUCACUGAGCUGGAGGAUGUACUCCUGUAGAUUGUCCAAAGCCGGGCCCUGCAGGGAGCAGGGUGAGAGAAGAGACCUGGAAAGGGAGGUCAGAGGCCCCCACCCCCCACGCCCACCCAAGGGGUCUGUGGCUCACCCUGUGCUCCCUAAAGGUGGUGCCCAGCUUCCAGAUGUCCGUUUCCACCUGAUCACGGAGGUGCCCCGAAGUCCUGGGCACCAGCCUCCUGAGAUAAGCAGCCAGGGCCUGGACGUACUCCCCAAAGACCACCAUAUUCAGACUCCUCACAAGGCUCUACGCCCCGAAAAGACAAAAAGAUGGGAAGACCCAAGUGAAAGCAGUCCCAGGGCACAGUCCAGCUGGCCUUGGUUGUACACCCUCAGGGACAUGGGGCGGCAGGGUGUUACAAAUCCCCCCCAUCACAGGUCUGUCCGGGCCUGUACCCCCCACCCCACAGAUCGAACCCCUAACCACUUGGCUUUUCAGAGGUUGCCUGCCUCAGCUUCUUGGGGUGACCUUCAGCAAGUCACAUCACCUCCCUGAGCCGGCCUCCACCUUGGGAGACCAAGGGCUGGCCAGGGUGACACGAGGGCCAUCCAGCCCAGCCCGUCUUGGGCCCUGGGCCUCCGUGUUGGCAAGGGUUCCCACACCCCUUUGACACCUAGCCCACAUUGGGGAGGGUCAGGAUCCCAGUGGCCAUGCAGAGCUGAUCCCCAGGGUGUCCCCCCUCCCCCCACUACCUCGUAUGUGGGAGUAGGGUGCAUGUUGGGGCAGUGCUCCAGGCUCUGCCACAGGGACCGCAGAGAUUGGACCAGAUCCUUGUUCUUCUCUCCGAAGUGACAACUCAGCAGACUCUGAGGACAGGAGGGUCGGAUGUCACCGCAGCCCGAGGCGCCCAGGCUGGCUAUAAUUUCUCCGGCCCUCAUCCUUUCCCCCUCCAGCUCUGUGACACCCACCUUUCUCUGCUGGACCCACAGUCCUGGACCAGAAGGGCCCACACCGAGGGAGCCAGAGGUUUGCCCACUUUCUGCCCCAAAACUCUGUCCACCCUUCUCCUGCCAACUCCUGGGAGGGCCCCAGGUUCAAACAGCAGCCCUGGACUCGAGCUUCUCUCAGAGCCCUCCCGAGUCCCUCCCCUCUCUCCGUGACCACCGAGGCAUGGCAGGAGCCCCCGACGAUGCUUGCUCCCCUCAGAGCUAAGCUCCAGAGACAUGGGGUGGCGAGAACCACAGCUGCUCCACCCACAUGCAGCCCUAGUCUGCUCAGUUCUCAGUGGAUGCCAAAGGUGGGUGGGUGGGGGAGGCAAAACCAGCCUGCUGAGUGUCUACUCAGGGGACCUGAACAAGUCCCAUUCCCACUACGACCCUCAGGGCCCAAUCUGUGUGAUGCAGCCUCGUCAGCAUCAUCUAGGAAAUGUGAAGCCAAGUCCAUGAUUGGCCGUGGCUGCUGGGACCUCUGGGUGGAGAAGGAGCCUGGGCCUCCAUCUGGGCCCUGAGAAGAAUGUUGGGAUUGAUGGGCAAUGUGUGCCACACCUCAGCGUGAGGCAAGGGCAGUGUGCGUGCUGUGCUUUUCUUGUCCCUAGAGGAGAUGAACUCUCUAGGUCUCUCCACCUCUGGGUCUUCCCAUGCCACCCUGAGCCAGGUGCUCAGAUCUCUGUAGAAAAUUCAGUGGCGGCUGCCUCAGAAGCUGGUCCCCACAGUGGAAAAUGGAUCCUUGGACAAAGCUGCAGCAAUGCAGACCCACCCUCACCAGCACCUCCCAUCUUCCCAGCCAGGAGGCCCCUGUGAAGAGAGGGCCAGUGUGGGCCUUGCCCUCAGCCAGAAGUUGAAUGGAUCCCGGGAGGCCUCAAACCCUGAAUUUGAGUGGGAAACUCACCUGUGGUUCCCAUAUCCUGGGGGACCCCUUGCCCUCUCAGGGCUUCAUCUCCAGGGUCAGGCCCCAGGCAUCCACGGGGAGCCCUGAAUCCUGGGCAAGGCCCUGCCUUGAAGGCAGCCACAGCUCAGGGGAAGGCAAAGAUGAACGGGCAUGGAGGCCCUGGGAACUCAGUGCAGGGGGCUUCGCCUGCCUAGGGAUGCCCGUGGCUCAGAGCUGGGAUCAGGGGGAGGGGGAAGGGAGUCGGGCCUGGAGGAGCGAGUGCCAGGCCUCAGCUGGCCUGGCAGACUGAAUGAUUUCACAGGAAGAGAGAAGAAGGAGCAGGUCUGGCUGAGGUGACAGAGGGACACAAAUGUGGACCCUGCCCAGGGAGGUGCCCUCGGUGAGGAUGGAGCCAGGCCUCAUGAGGGGCUGCAGGCCCACCCCACCCCUCUCCCCCAGACAGGGCCCCUCCCUCGGGCCAGACAGAAAGCUGACCCUGUCCUUCUGCUGCUCCACACACAGGACUCAGGGCUGGGGAGGGCAGGAGGACUGACAGAGACAUCUCCAACCAGGUUCCAUCGCUGGCACUUUGCCAUGUCCUGUCCCAGUAAAGGCUCUGUUGGGCUGGACGGAAGCCAGGGAGACAGGCCUCCUGCCCAGCUUCUCUGGGAGCAGAAAUGACCCCAGGCCAGGGCUGGGGUGUGGGACAUCACCUGGCACAGGGCUCUGACUCGAGGCAGGAGGUGGUCCCGGCCAUGGUCCUCAAUGCCUUUGAUGGCACCUUGCACAGCUGGGUCCAAGCGUGCCCAGGGAACGUGCGCCCUGCUCAGCCACCACCAUGUCUUCCUGUCAGGGGCAAUAGAAGGGGCCCAUGUGGCCUGGUCAGGAGCACUGUGGGCCCAGCCACAGCCCCAAUGCUGCACGCCCUCCCGUGCUGGUGCCCCUCCAUGUUGCCUCCCAGAGGAAAGACGGGAAACAGAUGCUCAUUUCUGUUGUUGUUGUCUAUUUCACCCCCACUCUUUUUCCUAAAUUUUAUUUUUUGAGGACGAUUAGCCCUGAGCUAAUAUCCACCUCCAAUCCUCUUUUUUGCUGAGGAAGACUGGCCCAGAGCUAACAUCCAUGCCCAUCUUCCUCUAUAUGUGGGACGCCUGCCACAGCAUGGCACAAUCAUCGGUGCGUAGGUCUACGCCCAGGAUCCAAACUGGUGAACCCAUGGUCUCCGAAGCGGAGCGCGUGAACUUAACUCCUACAACACCAGGCCAGCCCCACUAAAUGUAUUUAUUUAUGGAAUAAGCGUGACAUCCAUGUGGUUAAAAUACAAAAGGAAAACUUCCUCUCCCCAGAAGCAGCCAGUGUUAUUGGCACCUGGCCUUUCCUGAACCCAAUCCUGCAAUUCCGUACACACAUGUGUGUGUAGGGUAGGUUCUUCCCCCUUUUCUCACAGAUGGCAGCAAAUCAAUGGUCCACAUGAUUGGCCCACAGGGUCCAAAGCCUGGCUGCCUAGCCCACCAGCUCAGCUGGCCCCCUGCCCAAGCCUGGGACAUACCUGAGGAUGCAGCAGUUUUCCAGCACAUGCAGCUCGGGAAAGGUGUGGUCACUGGCGUUCUGCUGGAUGAAGACUUCAGCCUUAUCCUUGUAGCUGCGGUGUGAAGAAGAUGCUGGCCCCUCCCACCAGGCACAGCCCCCCAGGUCAGCCCCACCCAGCCAGGCCCUCAAAACUCUCCCUUCUCAUCUCAACUGCUGCUUCUCUCAUAGAAUCACAAAUGUGGGUGAUGAUAACCGUGAUGGAGACUAUGCAGCGAGGAUUUACUCGCGCUGGCUCUGUGCCAGGUGCUGCAGCCAGAUGCUUCCUGAGGAUCUUUUCAUUGAACGCUCUCCACGACCUUUUGGGGUAAAUGCUUCCAGAAAAGGAUGGGAGCAGGGUUUCCCAGUGGUCUGGAAUCACAGCUAACCCUGCAUUCUAGAGGCCCAGCCUUCCUGGCUGGUGAAGGAAAAGGUCAGGAAGAAGGCAGCGCUCCCAGAGCCGGGCUGGCCCCCUGGGAGAGUCUGAGUAAGGCCUGGGAGUGCACACAAGAAGGGGAGGUAGCCCCAUGCCCACCUGGGCCAUCACAGCUGGCCUCCCUUCCCCAGGCAGAGAGUGAAGAAAGGUGGCAGAGAGCGUACACACUCCCUGCUCCCUAAAGGCAAGGAAGAAGAGGUGCCCUUGAGCGUCUAGUCCCAAGAAUGCGGAUCAGGGUCUCAAACUGGCCACUGAGCAGAUUUUCUGAAACGUUGAAAACCCGGCUGAAUUCACCUAAAAAUCCACUUCUCUGGCCUCUCUUGAGUAACCCACCUGGUGUCAGCACCUUUGGAGACCCCAUCCCAGGUGAACACAGCCAUCUGAAGACCCCAGACACAGGAGCCUCCUGACGCAGCCUCACACAGCACUUUGUCCGAAACUAGCUUCUUAGUAAUUCCCCACAGCCCCAAGGACUCCACAGCACCUCCUCUCACCCAAGCCCAUUAAGACAGAGGCAGAGUCCCCACCUAACCCUGCGGCUGGGACAGAGCUGGGUGAGCAGCUCAGGGAUUUGACAGCAAGUCCUGCUGUGAAAACCAGAGGGAGGAGAGGGGGCGCUGGCCCCGGCUGCUUGUUUAAGGGAGCACCAAGAAGUUGAGUGACUGAGAUAAAUAGUAAUUUACUGCGAUUUAUUUUUUUCCCCAUGGAGGAAGAUUGACCCUGAGCUAACAUCUGUGCCAAUCUUUCUCUAUUUUGUAUAUGGACUGCCACCACAGCAUGGUUGACGAGUGGUAUAGGUCUGCACCCAGGAUCCAAACCCGCAAACCUGGGCCACCAAAGCGGAGUGUGCAGAACUUUAACCACUUGGCCACAGGCCGGCCCCUACUGCAAUAUUUUUAAACCUUGAAAUCUGUGCCAAAAAGUCCAUGAUGAACAAAACACCAAGUUUUAAAUCAGGACAGGAUCUGACGCAGCACUUUCACGAUGCUCCUCCCUGGUUCCCCCAAUCCCAGCCCUGCUGUCCAGUACAGGAGCCCCGCGCCCCAUGUGCUGUUCAAAUGUUGAAUAAUUAAAAUUAAAUAAAAUCUAAACUUCAGUUCUUCCGUGGAACUAGCUCAACAGCCACCCAGAUCUGGUCCCUCCAUGUUGGACGGUGCUGACAUGGGACAUUUCCAUCCCCUGCCUCCAGAGCCAGGGCACGAGGUGGAGCAGGCACGACUUGGGGGACCUGAAGCCAAUCCCGCCCCCUUCCCUGCAUCGGGAACUGGCCAAGGCGUGGUGGCCAGCGGCUGGUGGGCUUAGUUAGCUCUCUGACUUGAGUUAGGUAGACCCAGCCGUGCAUGCUCCCCUGCUCUGAGCAGGGGCCACCUUUUCACUUACCUUUCCAGAAACUUUGAAAAUGUUUCCAGAACCAUGGCUUGAACCCGUCUGGUGACGGAUGGCCCAAUGUGUCGGACUGCAUCUACAGCUUCUUUCAGUAGCUGUCAGUCAAAACAAACAGGCUUUCAGGGGGUCCCAGGGCCGACCACAUAGCCAGUGGACGCUGGGAGGAUGUGGUCCUCCCCAAUUUUGUACCUGUGCCCCACCCCUUGCCCCCCUGCCAUGUCUGCCUACUGCAGAUGCCACGCCAUCCACCAGGCCCAUGACCCAACACAUCUCGGCAGGUCUCUCUCCCUCACACCCCUCACUGUGUCCUGCAAUCAGCCAACCUGAACAGCAUUCUCACCCACGUGCUAGGCUUCACCUGUUUGGCCCGGAGGCUGCCCCAACCCCACCUGAGUGCCAGCUCCCCACCCAAGACUCUGCACAGGGCAUCUUGGCAUAAAGGUAUUGAGGAUGCCUAAGGUCCCCCCCAUCUCCUUUUCUCCCUCCAACCCUGAGCAGUCAAGAGAAGCAUCAGAAACCCCCAAACCCAGAUCCUCUAAAAAAGGCCACCCCCCACAACACACACACACACACACAUGCUGGUGGCCUGUCUUCCUGCCGGGCCAAAUAUCCGUCACCCCCAUGGGCCACAUGACCGUCUCCUUGAGGCUCAGUGCCCACCUUGCUAGAGUCCCGCCCACUGCAGGCACCCAUCUCUAUGUAGGUCCUAACUGAGGCCCAGCAGUCAGGUUCAUAAGCUGAGAGCUUCCAGGAAGAGGCCUCUCCCCAAAAGAUACACCCUGCAUCCCAGCACUGGGACCCCACCAUCACAAGCCAGGUUUCCAAGUUGAGUGCUCUCUGCUCCCCACUUCUCUGCUUGAUGCCCUCAGACACCACACAUGUACCCCAAUGCUGUCAUUGCUCUAAUGCCCCAGAGCCCCAAUCUCCACCCUGCUCUGUCCCCUCCUGGCUGCACCCUGCCCCUGACCACCCAUCAGUCACAUUGCCCCUCCCCAAUGAACCCGGCCCUCAGGAAGGGCCCAGGACCCCUUGUGGUGAGUUUGAAAGGGGCCACCUGGCAUUUACCUGGUAGAUUUCAAGGAACACUGAGGAGGCAGACUCGGUCCACUUUUUCUGAUCACAGAUCAGAACAUUUUCUAGACACUUUUUCAACUCCUCCUGCCCAGAACACAAUAAAAACAACUUUUAUCCCAAGAAUCUGCUCCAAAGCACAGCCAGAUCCUGCCCCUCUACAGCUGUGGCUGAUGCUGCCAACUGAGGACAGGAGUGGGGGUAACAACUGGCGAUGGCCUGGAGCCCCCACCAACCCACAGCCUGAAAUCCGUCCGGGAGGUACUCAGUUUCCUGAGCAGUCCUCUUCUUUCGUGGCCCCCAUCCCUCUGUCCCUCAGGGCUGGUCUGUGAAGCACCUUUGAGAUACUCCCUCUCUUUCAUUCCUGGCAAGACAGCUGCUUCCCACUGUAACCCAGUCACUGGAUCGGAGAUGACGAACGUCUACCUCUCCUUGGGAACCAUGGCCCUCACAGCAGCCGUGAGCUGGCAGAGGUGCCCGGAGACCUACAGUCUGAGGGGUGCACGGGCUGCGGACUGCUAGGACAGGACCUGGGCCAAGCGCCUGGGGUUUACCGAGGGCUGUGGGAACAGGGCUGGGCCAGGGAGGCCAGGGCACUGGAGCCUAGCUUCUGGCCAAAACCCAAAGAGUAACCCCUCGGGCCCACCCACAGGCAAUGACAAAGGCUUUCCCUGGCAGGCUCAUGGGGAAGCCACCCUCCCCACAUGGGGCCCGGGGCCCAGCUAGUGCACUGCAGUCUCAGAGAGAGCUGCCAGCAAGGGCUCGGCCGUGUCUCCCAUGCAUGUCUCUGUUCCUAACCCAGGCACCUCCAUCUGGAGGCCUGCUUAUGGGGGCCCCUGGCCAAGCACUCAGUACUUUUCCACUCCUAGCCUUCCCUCCCCCAUGCACCUGAUCCUCACCAGGCAGCGGUCCUAGGGGGGUGCAACAGGGGAGCGGGUGCUUGCUGGUAGCACCUCAGUAAGAUGCGAAAGUCUGCACUGUUACUUCGUUCUGGCUGCUUGUCUGAAUUGACCACUUGGACACCCCACAGCUGAGACCAGCUCCUGGUGGUCAGAGUGUGGAAGAGCAGAGAGUGAUAAGCCCUGUCUCCUUUAACUCAGCCCAGAUUAUGACUUUGAAGACUCAUGGGGAGCCAUGAAGGACCAGGAGGCCACAGACCCAAGUGCUUCAAGGAGGCAGAGCCCUGAGUCUGGCCAUCCUGUCUUGUUAGCCCCUGAGGAAGAGGCUGGAGGCAUUUAUAUACCAGUUCCUGGACAAUUCCAGUUAAAUCUACACCUAUUCUUUAUCUCACUGUCACAAAGCUUAGUUUCUAAGCUAAGAAGGGCAGAGAGCUUCCCCAAACCCGAAAAGCUUUUUCCACUAGUCCGCAUGACCAUUGACACAUCUGUGACCUGAGACUAGAAAUCCUUGUUAUAGGAAACCACAUUGGUUGAAACUGAUCACGGUAGAAAACUGUGAUGUCCCCUUAAGUCCUGUGUUUGCCGUGGAUGAACUGUGUGUGCCCACCUGGGGACAACCAGCUCUCCAUCCAAGGCUCACCAGUCUGCCAUGUCACUCACUGGUGCAUACAGAGCCAGACGCAUACUGGUCAGGGCAGCAGCAUUGCAUGCUGUCCGUGAAAGCCUCGUGCCCCGGCCCACAGCACACUGUUAUCUCCCACACGUGACAGUGGUCAAAGGCCAGAAUCAGCACCCUGCCCCCACUCCUAGGGGUGGACGUGGGCUCUGGCUCAAGCCCACCACCCAUGGCCCAAUCUGGCCCCUCCCCUACCUACUGUCCCCCAGAAGCAGGACAAGGACACCUUGGUGGCAGAUGCCCCUGGAAGCCAUUUACCUGGAUCAGCCCCACCAGCUUCUCCUGCAUUUGGAAUAUCCAGGUAAUGAACAUCAUUGAGUCCAAGAGGUUCCCGGCCAUGGACUUCUGGGAGGUGGGACCUACUCUCUGAAGCAUCUCCCUGCUGAAUUUGGAGGAGCCAUGAGUGCACAAGGCUGAGCGUGGCUGGGGAGGGGGGGGGGGGGUGGUGAGAGGGGCUGGGGUAGAGAGGACAGCUCAGAGCUAAGGACAGUGGACUCCAGGCUGGCAGUGCUGGUCCUGUGACUGGAGAAGGCAGCUGGGGUUGACAAGAGGGAGCAAAAGACUCUACUGGGGUAGACAAGCCUCAGGGGUCACACACAAGCACGGGCCAUGAGCUCCCCAUACACAUGCAUGGACACAACCUAACAUGCACACUGACACACACUACCACACCCAUACACACACUACACAAAGAACACACUGACGCACACACACUACCACACACGAAUGUGCACACACUGUCCCCACGGCCGCUGAGUCUGGCCUUCCCUCAUGACACUCCCGCCUGGGCAAUCCUUCCAAAGGCCUCUGUGUUGACCUCAGCCCUGGGCCUGAGGGCCCUCGCCACCAGGCACUGGCCUCGUCCAGGACCCCAAGGUCCUCAGGAGGACUCACCCCAGCUGCCCAAACAAGGUCGUCUUGCCCCAGUUGUACAGCUCAAAGUAGGCUUCCCUGUCGUGACUGUAGGAGGAAGGGAGCUCGGAGAGGCGGCUGAGGAGGACCUCCUGGAAACACGUCCUGUAGAUUUCCCAGAGGGGGGCCCCCAUCCGGCCUGCCCUCUGGGACCCUAGGCUGUGUCCCACAGCUUUGUCCAGCUCCUUCAGGUACGGGCGCAGCUGGGUGCUUGGCUUCAUAGUGGGCAAUUGGUCCUCAGCAUCUGUUCUCAGGAGCCUCUCCAGAUGACUUCCCCAGAAAGCAACUCCACCAUCCUCGAGGGCGCUGGCCUCCCAGCUCUGGGGGUUGUCCUCCACCCACUCCACAGUGGCCACCACUGCCUGGAGCUUUAGCUCCAGCUUCUGGCUGUACCCAAUGCCUCCCAGAGCCUCCUUGAUGACCUGCCACAUGCUCUCAGCCACAACCUUGUACUGGAGACCACAGUCCUGCCCUUCCUGUGACAACUCCGAGAUGCUCUGGCAGGCUUCCAGGAACUGCCCCUUCUGUACCAACUUUUGGAAAUCUGGAAGAAAGGAGCCCAGAAAUGAUGACUCAGAGAGGCCUUGGAAACACGGAAAUCAGGUGAGGUGGGAGAGGGGCACCUGCCCAAGGGGAUUCCUCAGUGUAAUUCUCACUCGCAUAAGGGUGGGUUUGGGCCAAGCUGUAUUGAACUCACCCAUCAGGGGAACCAGCAAGAGGCCAAGGCGGCCAGUUUGAAGAAGCUUUGGGAACAGGGGUCUAUGUAGCCAGUCAGAUCGGAAGGCCACAGAUUUCUUACUAUGGUUGCAGGAGACUGGUAGGCUUUGCACUGUGUCACCUUCAGAGCAGAAAAUCACAACACUCAGAGCUUUCUUCUGGUGAGCCUCUG